UACAGAGGUCUCAAGCGUUGUUCGGAUUCAUUGGGCGUAAAGGGUGCGUAGGCGGCGCGGUAAGUCGGGUGUGAAAUCUCGGAGCUUAGCCCCGAAACUGCAUUCGAUACUGCCGUGCUUGAGGACUGGAGAGGAGACUGGAAUUUACGGUGUAGCGGUGAAAUGCGUAGAUAUCGUAAGGAAGACCAGUGGCGAAGGCGGGUCUCUGGACAGUUCCUGACGCUGAUGCACGAAGGUCAGGGGAGCAAACGGG
rnacentral:rRNA from 1 species